AGAGUUUGAUCCUGGCUCAGGACGAACGCUGGCGGCGUGCUUCACACAUGCAAGUCGAGCGGAAAGGCCCUUCGGGGUACUCGAGCGGCGAACGGGUGAGUAACACAUGAGUAACCUGCCCCUAGCACCGGGAUAGCUCCGGGAAACCGGAAUUAAUACCGGAUAUGACCACGGACGGCAUCUUCCGUGGUGGAAAGGAU
rnacentral:rRNA from 1 species